UUCUCUUUAGUUUAAUAAUAGAAUAUUUGCCUUCCAAGUAAAGGGUCCUGACAAAGGAAGAGAAA
rnacentral:tRNA from 1 species